UACAGAGGUCCCAAGCGUUGUUCGGAUUCACUGGGCGUAAAGGGUGCGUAGGUGGUGAGGUAAGUUUGAUGUGAAAUCUCCGGGCUCAACCCGGAAAUGGCAUUGAAUACUAUCUUGCUAGAGGAGUGGAGGGGGGACUGGAAUACUUGGUGUAGCAGUGAAAUGCGUAGAUAUCGGGAGGAACACCUGAGGCGAAGGCGGGCUACUGGGCCGAUACUGACGCUGAUGUGCGAAAGCCAGGGGAGCGAACGGG
rnacentral:rRNA from 1 species